rnacentral:tRNA from 1 species
GGUUUUGUAGUUGAGCCAACAUCAAAUUGCAAAUUUGGAGACGUAAUUAUUUACCAAAACUU